AUUGAACACUGGCGGCAGGCUUAACACAUGCAAGUCGAACGAGUGGCGGACGGGUGAGUAAUGCUUGGGCAUCUUGCUUAUGGAGGGGGUUAACUACGGGAAACUGACGCCAAUUCCGCCUACCAUAGGAUGAGCCCAAGUGGGAUGAGGUAGUUGGUGAGGUAAAGGCUCACCAAGCCGACGAUCGCUAGCUGGUGUGAGAGGAUGACCGGCCACAGUGGAACUGAGACACGGCCCAGACUCCUACGGGAGGCAGCAGUGGGGAAUAUUGCGCAAUGGGGGCAACCUGACGCAGCCAUGCCGCGUGAAUGAAGAAGGCCUUCGGGUUGUAAAGUUCUUUCAGUAGCGAGGCGUUAACUACAGAAGAAGCACCGGCUAACUCCGUGCCAGCAGCCGCGGUAAUUC
rnacentral:rRNA from 1 species